rnacentral:rRNA from 1 species
UGGGGAAUAUUGCGCAAUGGGCGGAAGCCUGACGCAGCGACGCCGCGUGGGGGAUGACGGCCUUCGGGUUGUAAACCCCUUUCAGCAUCGACGAAGCUUCAUCCUUUUGGGGUGGGGUGACGGUAGGUGCAGAAGAAGCGCCGGCUAACUACGUGCCAGCAGCCGCGGUAAUACGUAGGGCGCGAGCGUUGUCCGGAAUUAUUGGGCGUAAAGAGCUCGUAGGCGGUCUGUCGCGUCUGUCGUGAAAGCCCACGGCUUAACUGUGGGUCUGCGGUGGAUACGGGCAGGCUAGAGGCAGGUAGGGGAGCAUGGAAUUCCCGGUGUAGCGGUGAAAUGCGCAGAUAUCGGGAGGAACACCGGUGGCGAAGGCGGUGCUCUGGGCCUGUUCUGACGCUGAGGAGCGAAAGCGUGGGGAGCGAACA